GUGAAUCAUCGAAUCUUUGAACGCAAAUUGCACUCUCUGGUAUUCCGGAGAGUAUGCCUGUUUGAGGGUCAUUUUAAAUAAAAAUCGGUGUGGUUGUUGCCUUUCGUGGUGACGCACCGGAUGUGGGUCGUAUUGCCUUCGGGUAAGUGACGUAAUAUUGUUCAUGAUAUUUGCGAACGUAUUUAAAUGAGUUUACGG
rnacentral:misc_RNA from 1 species